AUAAAUGGCAGAGACUUUUCCCUAAAUGGGUUACUUGAUUUAAGAGCUGCAGGCUAAUUUUGGUUGGAUACUUUAAUAGAAGAGGGAAGAGGAAAGGAAAGAAAGGGGCUUGAAGAAAGAGGAAGAGAAAAGAAACAAAAGGAUGGAGAACAAAAAGAGACCAUUUGUUCUCAAACAGUAGCUGCCACUUCCAGCUGGGAGAGAAAUGAGAGCUCUGUUCAUGGUGAUUCAGUAUCUCCAGAAUCCAUCACCACUGCUGACCUCCCACUCCAUGUCUCCAAGUGCUCUGCUAUAUCUGCCACCAGCACCUGCCACGUCCAGACUUUGGAAGGUUAUAAUAAAACCUCUGUUCUACGAUCUGCCUUCUGCUUCGACAUCCUCACUCCCCACAAACAAUUCUAAUAAACAGCAAUUAAUCUGA
rnacentral:lncRNA from 1 species